UACGUAGGGUGCAAGCGUUAAUCGGAAUUACUGGGCGUAAAGCGUGCGCAGGCGGUUUUGUAAGUCUGACGUGAAAUCCCCGGGCUCAACCUGGGAAUUGCGUUGGAGACUGCAAGGCUAGAAUCUGGCAGAGGGGGGUAGAAUUCCACGUGUAGCAGUGAAAUGCGUAGAGAUGUGGAGGAACACCGAUGGCGAAGGCAGCCCCCUGGGUCAAGAUUGACGCUCAUGCACGAAAGCGUGGGGAGCAAACAGC
rnacentral:rRNA from 1 species